rnacentral:rRNA from 1 species
GACUAACGCUGGCGGCGUGCUUAACACAUGCAAGUCGAACGGUGAAGCGCCUUCCUUUUUGGUGGGUGUGGAUGAGUGGCGAACGGGUGAGUAACACGUGAGUAACCUGCCCCCUUCUUCUGGAUAACCGCAUGAAAGUGUGGCUAAUACGGGAUAUUCUGGGUCUGUCGCAUGAUGGGUCUGGGAAAGAUAUUGUUUCGGUGGGGGAUGGGCUCGCGGCCUAUCAGCUUGUUGGUGGGGUGAUGGCCUACCAAGGCGGUGACGGGUAGCCGGCCUGAGAGGGUGGACGGUCACACUGGGACUGAGACACGGCCCAGACUCCUACGGGAGGCAGCAGUGGGGAAUAUUGCACAAUGGGCGCAAGCCUGAUGCAGCGACGCCGCGUGAGGGAUGGAGGCCUUCGGGUUGUGAACCUCUUUCGCCAGUGAAGCAGGCCUGCCUCGUUUGUGGGUGGGUUGACGGUAGCUGGAUAAGAAGCGCCGGCUAACUACGUG